CCACCUCUACUUAUCUGACUGCAGAGAGGAGGACAGAGAACAGUGGACACACAGUUUAACAUGAUGGACUAUAGGACAGGACUGCUGCUUUUAACUCUCUGCUGGGCAGGUGUUGAUGGUCAGACUCUGACACAAUCUGAACCAGCGGUUAAAAGACCUGGAGAAUCCCACAGAUUGAUCUGUUCAGCCUCUGGGUUGGACUUUGAUGGCUACACCAUGCACUGGAUCAGACAGGCUGCUGGAAAAGGACUGGAAUGGAUCUCUUACAUCAGCAGUGGUGGCAGCACUCGCUACUCUCAGUCAGUUCAAGGCCGGUUUACCAUCUCCAGAGACAACAGUAGAAAACAGCUGUAUCUGCAGAUGAACAGUCUGAAGACUGAAGAUUCUGCUGUUUAUUAUUGUGCUCGAGAGCCACAGUGA